CCGAAAAUCCAAACAAACAUCAAUCGCCUGUUGGUAAAGAAGUGUGUAGUUGCCCAAGAGGCGCAGUCUGGUUAAUGUAUUCAGAUUCUAUAUAUGCUACAGUCAAUAUCCAUCGGAGGUUAUGCUGCCUAGGAGAAGGUCCAGUGUGUUUAGGAGCAAAUACCAGUGAACCGUCAGCAAGAAAACUGAAAUUCACCGCACUGCACCUUUCGCGUGGGAGGAAAAAGCUCAUUGAAGAAGGAAAGGAGAGACUCACUUGACCAUCUUGGAUCUUCAUAUGGAAAAAAGAAGUUGAUUGAGCUUCCUUGAGGAAUAAUUUUUUUUGACGCGUCUGAUUUUUGCUGAGGAACUUUUGUCAUAAGACACAAAGAUCUUUGGACUUGUGGAAGGUUUUUGUUAAGCUUUUGAGCUUUCUGCUUCCAUACCUAUGAAAUCGGCGCUAUACCCUUUACCUGCUUCAAUCAGAAAACGGCAUAUAAUUAAAUGGGCGUCUUACAAAUGUGAUAUUAAAACCUAUAAAGAUAAAAUUGGCAUAAUAAUGUAUCCUCCAGCGGCAUCCCUAUUUCACUAACCCAAACCGACAAUGACGGCGAUGUAACAUAGCGAUUUACUUCCUUCACUGUCAUGUGACUUUAAACCAUUGAGCAUUAUUUUUUUCAAACCCGGUCAGUCUUUUUCAUCAGUUUAAUGAGGUGAGCAGUGGUUCUCAGUGACCUCCAUUGCCAAUAAAAUACUCGUAGCUCA